AUUGAACGCUGGCGGCAUGCCUUACACAUGCAAGUCGAACGGUAACGCGGGGCAACCUGGCGACGAGUGGCGAACGGGUGAGUAAUGCAUCGGAACGUGCCCAGUAGUGGGGGAUAGCCCGGCGAAAGCCGGAUUAAUACCGCAUACGACCUACGGGUGAAAGCGGGGGAUCGCAAGACCUCGCGCUACUGGAGCGGCCGAUGUCAGAUUAGGUAGUUGGCGGGGUAAAGGCCCACCAAGCCUACGAUCUGUAGCUGGUCUGAGAGGACGACCAGCAACACUGGGACUGAGACACGGCCCAGACUCCUACGGGAGGCAGCAGUGGGGAAUUUUGGACAAUGGGGGCAACCCUGAUCCGGCCAUGCCGCGUGCGGGAAGAAGGCCUUCGGGUUGUAAACCGCUUUUGUCGGGGAAGAAAUCUUCCGGGCUAAUACCCUGGGGGGAUGACGGUACUCGGAGAAUAAGCACCGGCUAACUACGUGCCAGCAGCCGCGGUAACAC
rnacentral:rRNA from 1 species